UCACCCGGGUCCCCCAGCCUAGGCAAACGGCAGGUACCCAGCCACUUCUAAAGGAGUCGCUUGAACAGCUCGUGGCCUCGCCAAGGGUGUGCUGCCCUGCUCUGGUCCAACUCGUGCGGUGCUGCCCUUCCAGCAGCCCUGCACGACUGCUCCAUCCACCCGUCUUCCCCCCAUCCACCUGCCUGGCAGCCCCCAGACCUCGUCCAGCUCCCCUGGGGUGGCUGCUCGGGGGGCUCCAGGCUGCUGCUCCCCUUCUGCCUUCAGGCCUGGCCCUGGGGCUGCCUGGCAGCGUGGGAAGAUGGCACCAAGGCCUGGCUGCCGCCUGCGAUGCCUUCCUGCCUGCGGGGUGUAGCCACUGCACGCCUGUAGCUACUCUUUCAGAGUUGAAGGUAACAUGGUUGUCGCCUUUGUGGCUCUUGUCGGUUGUGUGAAUGAAACCCUUCGUUUACAUUGCAAACGGUGAAGGAGAUUUGGAAGUGGAAGGCUACCUGCCAGCAGGUGGGGCUACAGCAGAUCAGGAUAUUCUCUUCUUUGGGAAGAAGAACGAUUUAGGAUUUACCAGGUUGGUAAAAAUGAAAUAACAAAUGCUACCUCCAGUUAAUUACACUGAGAUUUUAUAUAUAUAUAUAAAUAUAUAUAUAUAUAUAGAGAGAGAGAGAGGCAAGCUGCAUUGCUUUUCUGGAGCCUUUAUAUGUUUCUAUUUGCCUUCACAAGGCAGGCAGUCACACAAUCCUUUCACACACAAUCCUUUGUGUAUGCUGGAAAAAAGAAGAGGCUGUUAGAAAAGUGCAACGAUGCUGUUAUUGAAGGCUAGGGGGUUGUGCUUGCGCUCGGAGAAAGGCUGCUGUAAAUUCUGCUCCAGCCUAUUGCUUGGGCAAGUGACUUUACCUUCUUGGUCCGCUUGCUGCUGCUUUUCCCCGUCCUGGCGGCCUGCGCUGCUGCGUGCCCAGGUCCCCACGCGGCCCUGGGCUCGGGGCUCCCAGGCAGGCUCGGCUCUGCCCAGCUCAGAAGGAGGGCAGAAAAAAGAGGGGUGCAAAGGGUCCUGGUCCUGUGACGGGCGGUUGCUGUGUGUCUGUGAUCUCUGUGGUUUGGAGCAGGACAAUAAACUCACUGCCCCACUGGACCUGUGUGUGGUUUGUUUCUGUGACCAAGAGGGACCCGAUAUAUGGGGUUGUUUGUUUGUUUUCUUGGGUGUGUGUAUGGGGAUGCUGGAAGCCAUCUUCCGAGCAUCAACCAGGGUGCUGAGUGACACCACUCCUGCCCCUUUUCAAGCUGCUCCAUGUUCCCUAGCAGUUAUGUUUUCUGCACUGAAAGCCAGUGUGGGCUUCGAGGGAAGGCCUUGUGUUUGCGUAAAGCUUCCUAAAUAUUAAUUAGGGCAAAAAAAAAUGAUACUGAUGUGAAAAUAAUGCACAAAACCACUGUUAUACAGCAGUAAGAUUAUUACCCUGCUCUACAAAAGAUCAGAUAGAUCUUCUUGAAGGUGGAACUGUGGAGAAGCUGGAAGUGGAGGUGUGGUUGUGGUGGUUGUAUUUUGUUAUGGUAGUCAGCCUAGAAGAAGAUAAGAGACUGUGAUAAUGAAAUUAUUCCAAAGAAACAUGACAACGGAAACAGAAAAUGCCACCUUCAGUAAGGUAGGGAUCACAGAAAAUGUCUAACCAAGUACGUUCCCCAGAUUGUGAGGGCCACUUGGUUCUGUUUGUAAAUGCCAAAAAUCUGUUCAAAGCCUGGCCUUUGGCUUACUACUGAGAAGCAGGGGCAGAUAGUGCUACUGUGAGCUGAGCAAUAGCACGCCCAAAUAUUUAACUACCCACAGCCGUGCUAAAAGCGGUGGGAUUGACAGGGAAAUAAUGUUAGUCAGCACAAGAGCUUUGUAAGAGACUGAUCAGCAGUUGCUCAGUUUUGGUAUCAUUCCGUGAUGACGAGAAAAGCUUAUGUCUCCUUGCGCCUCCCUCCAGGAUCAGUUGUCUGUUUUAAAGUAAAACUGCGCAGGGUCUCAGUGGGAAGAUACCUGCAGGAUCGCUACAGGCUUGUAAGGAAACACUGCCAUUUGUUAAGCAGGCUCCCAAGGGUGUCAGGAUAGUUUUGCACUUGUAGUAUAAGAAUGUUUUCGUUUAUCUUUACUCUGAUGAGAACAACAACAGAAAUCCCCACCUCCCCCCNNNNNNNNNNNNNNNNNNNNCCCCCCCCCAACAAAAAGACCCUUGCUUUGGGCUUGCAAGGCCAUCGCUUCUCGUUAUGCUGCAUUUCUUUCUGAAGGGAGGAACGAGCGAGAAAUAUGAAGCAUGUUUGUGGAGGGUUAAGGGCUAUGUGCUUAUUUUAGGAUCCGACCAUGAUAUGUCCUGGUAGCAAAAUGGCAUACAGGCUGCUUCUGCACAUUAGAGCUCAGUAUGUGUUACAUCAAGGGAGAGUUUCACACCAGGAGAGCUCUGUGCACUCUGAAGAUGAAGUAAGACUCAGUGCUGAACUGAAGUUGGACUAGGAGAAUAAAUGCUCACGGUUUGGGCUCA
ensembl:lncRNA